rnacentral:rRNA from 1 species
CCUACGGGCCGCAGCAGUGGGGAAUAUUGCACAAUGGGGGAAACCCUGAUGCAGCCAUGCCGCGUGUGUGAAGAAGGCCUUCGGGUUGUAAAGUACUUUCAGCGGGGAGGAAGGGAGUAAAGUUAAUACCUUUGCUCAUUGACGUUACUCGCAGAAGAAGCACCGGCUAACUCCGUGCCAGCAGCCGCGGUAAUACGGAGGGUGCAAGCGUUAAUCGGAAUUACUGGGCGUAAAGCGCACGCAGGCGGUUUGUUAAGUCAGAUGUGAAAUCCCCGGGCUCAACCUGGGAACUGCAUCUGAUACUGGCAAGCUUGAGUCUCGUAGAGGGGGGUAGAAUUCCAGGUGUAGCGGUGAAAUGCGUAGAGAUCUGGAGGAAUACCGGUGGCGAAGGCGGCCCCCUGGACGAAGACUGACGCUCAGGUGCGAAAGCGUGGGGAGCAAACAGGAUUAGAUACCCUAGUAGUC